GACGAACGCUGGCGGCGUGCUUAACACAUGCAAGUCGAACGGAAAGGCCCUGCUUUUGUGGGGUGCUCGAGUGGCGAACGGGUGAGUAACACGUGAGUAACCUGCCCUUGACUUUGGGAUAACUUCAGGAAACUGGGGCUAAUACCGGAUAGGAGCUCCUGCUGCAUGGUGGGGGUUGGAAAGUUUCGGCGGUUGGGGAUGGACUCGCGGCUUAUCAGUUUGUUGGUGGGGUAGUGGCUUACCAAGGCUUUGACGGGUAGCCGGCCUGAGAGGGUGACCGGCAACAUUGGGACUGAGAUACGGCCCAGACUCCUACGGGAGGCAGCAGUGGGGAAUAGUGCACGAUGGGCGGAAGCCUGAUGCAGCAACGCCGCGUGCGGGAUGACGGCCUUCGGGUUGUAGGCCGCUUUCGCCUGUGACGAAGCGUGAGUGACGGUAAUGGGUAAAGAAGCACCGGCUAACUACGUG
rnacentral:rRNA from 1 species